rnacentral:lncRNA from 1 species
GUUAUUAUUAAAGGUAAAUGCACAUUCUUAAAAGCAUCUCAGAUCUCUCAAUAGAAUUAUCUGUGUGAGCUGACAGGAAAGGCCUACAAAGCUGCAUUUCAUAAUGUCUGGAGAGGAUGCUGCAUAAACACAUUGUUUGCCUUGAUCUGGAAGGAACUGCCCUGGAGGGAAAGAGGAGGAAGCAAGAUACAAUAACUGUGAUUUCUGAGAAACUUGGCAAGGAAAUGAAACAAUAAUGGAGCAGAACAUCAACAGUUCCAGGCAGUACAUUGCUGGUUUUUUCAAGAACUUGUGGUCAUUAUGGAAGAUAAAUGACAGUCCUUGGAGCUCAUGGCUGAAGCACACAUUAGUCACUGCAGCCUUCAGAACCCUUGAGGGAACUUCUGAGGACCUUGGGACUUAGCCAAGCAGUGGGUGCUUACACAUUGCAUGUACUGUCACCCCUGUACAGAGCUUUAAAUAAUAGAGUCAUAGAAUGAUUAAGGUUGGAAAAGACCACUAGAAUUACCUAGUCCAACCCUUAACCCUUCCCCACUAUGCCCAGUAAGUCAUGUACAUAUAAUACAAUACAGUAUCCCACAUCAUUUUACAACUGAUCCACAUACGUUACAAACGAAUGACACCCUAAUAAGAGAAGCAAACAGUGAAACCUUUAAUAUUUCCAUAAUCUCAGCGGGUCUACAUUUUGUGUGCACAUUGUAACAUUGCAGGAUAGGCUAAUGAUAAGAAAGUAAUAAUGCCAUGUGAAAUUUGGGAGUC